UACGUAGGGCGCAAGCGUUGUCCGGAAUUAUUGGGCGUAAAGAGCUCGUAGGCGGUCUGUCGCGUCGGAUUUGAAAGCCCGGGGCUUAACCCCGGGUCUGCAUUCGAUACGGGCAGACUAGAGUGUGGUAGGGGAGACUGGAAUUCCUGGUGUAGCGGUGAAAUGCGCAGAUAUCAGGAGGAACACCGAUGGCGAAGGCAGGUCUCUGGGCCGGAACUGACGCUGAGGAGCGAAAGCGUGGGGAGCAAACAGG
rnacentral:rRNA from 1 species